rnacentral:rRNA from 1 species
UAGGGAAUCUUCGGCAAUGGGGGCAACCCUGACCGAGCAACGCCACGUGAGUGAAGAAGGUUUUCGGAUCGUAAAGCUCUGUUGUAAGAGAAGAACGUGUGUGAGAGUGGAAAGUUCACACAGUGACGGUAACUUACCAGAAAGGGACGGCUAACUACGUGCCAGCAGCCGCGGUAAUACGUAGGUCCCGAGCGUUGUCCGGAUUUAUUGGGCGUAAAGCGAGCGCAGGCGGUUUAAUAAGUCUGAAGUUAAAGGCAGUGGCUUAACCAUUGUUCGCUUUGGAAACUGUUAAACUUGAGUGCAGAAGGGGAGAGUGGAAUUCCAUGUGUAGCGGUGAAAUGCGUAGAUAUAUGGAGGAACACCGGUGGCGAAAGCGGCUCUCUGGUCUGUAACUGACGCUGAGGCUCGAAAGCGUGGGGAGCAAACAGG